GACGAACGCUGGCGGCGUGCUUAACACAUGCAAGUCGAACGGAAAGGCCCCUUUGGGGGUACUCGAGUGGCGCACGGGUGAGUAACACGUGAGUAACCUGCCCUUGACUUCGGGAUAACUUCAGGAAACUGGGGCUAAUACCGGAUAGGAAUCCUUGCUGCAUGGUGGGGGUUGGAAAGCUUCGGCGGUUUUGGAUGGACUCGCGGCGUAUCAGCUGGUUGGUGGGGUAGUGGCUUACCAAGGCUUUGACGGGUAGCCGGCCUGAGAGGGCGACCGGCCACAUUGGGACUGAGAGAAGGCCCAGACGCCUACGGGAGGCAGAAGGGGGGAAGAUUGCACAAUGGGCGGAAGCCUGAUGCAGCAACGCCGCGUGCGGGAUGACGGCCUUCGGGUUGUAAACCGCUUUCAGCAGGGGCGAAGCUUGUGGUGACGGUACCUGCAGAAGAAGCACCGGCUAACUACGUG
rnacentral:rRNA from 1 species